GAUGAACGCUGACAGAAUGCUUAACACAUGCAAGUCAACUUGGUGGCGGACUGGUGAGUAACGCGUAAAGAACUUGCCUCACAGCUAGGGACAACAUUUGGAAACGAAUGCUAAUACCUGAUACUGUGAGAGAGCUUUGCGUCCCAUUAGCUAGUUGGAGAGGUAACGGCUCACCAAGGCGAUGAUGGGUAGCCGGCCUGGGAGGGUGAUCUGCCAAAAGGGGAAUGAGAAAACGGCCUUAAUCCUAAGGGAGGCAGGAGUGGGGAAUAUUGGAGAAUGGACCAAGGUCUGAUCCAGCAAUUCUGUGUGCACGAUGAAGUUUUUCGGAAUGUAAAGUGCUUUCAGUUGGGACGGUACCUAAAGAAUAAGCAACGGCUAACUACGUGCCAGCAGCCGCGGUAAUAC
rnacentral:rRNA from 1 species